rnacentral:lncRNA from 1 species
GAUAGGUUGAUCCGCUUUAGCAUCUUUAGUGCUAUCUACAAUCAGUAAAUCUAAAAUGGUGCUAAAGAUUGGUUAGAUAUUCAUGUUUAAAUCAAUAUAGGAUUAUAGUCCCUAUUUUUAAUAGCUAAGCAUCAUUUAUUUGAAAUUCGUUUUUACAUAAGACUAAAAUAAAUUAUAUCAGUAAAUCUCCCUCCAGACAUAAAUUACACUGUCUUAGUGUAACUCAGCCGGAGUUAUGAUGAAAAGCUUAUAAUGUACGAAAUGUAACAAGUAGGUAAGAUACAUCUGACCAGAUUAAAUAUCGAUCGAUGUGUAAGUGUUACAUCGAUCGUCGUGUGGUUGCCUAUGUCGAACGAUGUCGACGUCUCAUCGUCAGUCGAUAUUCAAGUCCUCCUACUUG